UACGUAGGGUGCAAGCGUUAAUCGGAAUUACUGGGCGUAAAGCGUGCGCAGGCGGUUAUGCAAGACAGAUGUGAAAUCCCCGGGCUCAACCUGGGAACUGCAUUUGUGACUGCAUGGCUAGAGUACGGUAGAGGGGGAUGGAAUUCCGCGUGUAGCAGUGAAAUGCGUAGAUAUGCGGAGGAACACCGAUGGCGAAGGCAAUCCCCUGGACCUGUACUGACGCUCAUGCACGAAAGCGUGUGGAGCAAACAGG
rnacentral:rRNA from 1 species